rnacentral:rRNA from 1 species
GAUGAACGCUGGCGGCGUGCUUAACACAUGCAAGUCGAACGGACAGAGGGAGCUUGCUCCCAAAGUUAGUGGCGGACGGGUGAGUAACGCGUGGGUAACCUGCCCUAUGCAGGGGGAUAACGUUUGGAAACGAACGCUAAUACCGCAUAACAUAAUUGGUUUGCAUGAACUGAUUAUCAAAGAUUUAUCGGCAUAGGAUGGACCCGCGUUGGAUUAGCUAGUUGGUGAGAUAAUAGCCCACCAAGGCAACGAUCCAUAGCCGGCCUGAGAGGGUGAACGGCCACACUGGGACUGAGACACGGCCCAGACUCCUACGGGAGGCAGCAGUGGGGAAUAUUGCACAAUGGGCGCAAGCCUGAUGCAGCGACGCCGCGUGAAGGAUGAAGGUUUUCGGAUCGUAAACUUCUAUCAGCAGGGAAGAACCAAAUGACGGUACCUGACUAAGAAGCCCCGGCUAACUACGUGCCAGCCGCCGCAGUAAAAC